rnacentral:rRNA from 1 species
CUACGGGUGGCAGCAGUGGGGAAUAUUGCACAAUGGGCGCAAGCCUGAUGCAGCCAUGCCGCGUGUAUGAAGAAGGCCUUCGGGUUGUAAAGUACUUUCAGCGGGGAGGAAGGGAGUAAAGUUAAUACCUUUGCUCAUUGACGUUACCCGCAGAAGAAGCACCGGCUAAGUCCGUGCCAGCAGCCGCGGUAAUACGGAGGGUGCAAGCGUUAAUCGGAAUUACUGGGCGUAAAGCGCACGCAGGCGGUUUGUUAAGUCAGAUGUGAAAUCCCCGGGCUCAACCUGGGAACUGCAUCUGAUAAUGGCAAGUUUGAGUCUCGUAGAGGGGGGUAGAAUUCCAGGUGUAGCGGUGAAAUGCGUAGAGAUCUGGAGGAAUACCGGUGGCGAAGGCGGCCCCCUGGACGAAGACUGACGCUCAGGUGCGAAAGCGUGGGGAGCAAACAGGAUUAGAUACCCCGGUAGUC